rfam:Operophtera brumata OBRT01_Sc01099, whole genome shotgun sequence.
UCACAGGCUCUUCUAAGAGCUAUCCCUCAGGCAGAACAUGGAUUUG